rnacentral:tRNA from 1 species
GGAGAGAUGGCUCCACGAUUGAGAGCACUGGCUUUUUCCAGAGGGCCUGGGUUCAAAUCCCAGCACCUCCA